CCCUGACUGUGUCUUCAUGUUGCUGAUGAACUCAUGGUUCACCCUGACUGUGUCUUCAUGUUGCUGAUGAACUCAUGGUUCACCCUGACUGUGUCUUCAUGUUGCUGAUGAACUCAUAGUUCACCCUGAAACACCCUGACUGUGUCUUCAUGUUGCUGAUUGAACUCAUGGUUCACCCUGACUGUGUCUUCAUGUUGCUGAUGAACUCAUGGUUCACCCUGAAUGAAAGAAGUGACAGGGGUUUCCUGUUUCCCUACAUGAUUGUCUGAGCUGGCAGAAAAAAAGGUAUGUGUUUACGUGUGAGAGGAGAGAAGGAGAGGAGAGAAGGAGCUCAGUGAAGGAAAGGUCAAAGAGAGGAGAGAAGGAAAGGAGAGGAGAGAAGGAGCUCAGUGAAGGAAAGGUCAAAGAGAGGAGAGAAGGAAAGGAGAGGAGAGAAGGAGCUCAGUGAAGGAAAGGUCAAAGAGAGGAGAGAAGGAAAGGAGAGGAGAGAAGGAGCUCAGUGAAGGAAAGGUCAAAGAGAGGAGAGAAGGAGAGGAGAGAAGGAGCUCAGUGAAGGAAAGGUCAAAGAGAGGAGAGAAGGAGAGGAGAGAAGGAGCUCAGUGAAGGAAAGGUCAAAGAGAGGAGAGAAGGAGAGGAAAGAAGGAGCUCAGUGAAGGAAAGGUAAACCGGAAGGAGGAAUGGAG
ensembl:lncRNA